GCUGUCAUUAGGUACUGUAUGGCCCAUUCGUGUGGACGCUGCGGAAGGUGAACUAGGGAACCAUUUCAGCAUGUAGAACACCUCGGUGUAGCUGCGUAAACCCCAAGACUUGGCUUCACCUUUAUAUUUAAAAGACGGAAUUAAGUCAUCGCCACCACCUGACGCGUGUAACCAAUCUGCUGAGAGCAGAACAAGCGCCCCUCCUCACCAUCCCCCAGAACUGGUCCGAAACAGGAUUGAACCGCUUCUAACAAAGGGUGGAAACUUAGAAAAACAAGCUUGGAGUCGCCUAUAUUUCCACAUUGUAGCCACUUAAACAACAGAUCGCAAAUCUUAGGACCUCUUGUCCCUUUGACAAUGCCUUAAUCUUCAUCUUGUACCCAAAAACCAAAUCCGAUGUGCCAUAUACUUUUCAAUUCCAUCUGUCUGCCAUGGGUUUCAUUGAAUCCACGUUCCAAAGUUAGACAUGAUGCUCCGAGAAGAAAAGUACUGACCCGGAAUGGCUUCUAAACUGACUUAAUAGUUUGCAUAAUGAUAGAUAUUAUCCUUUAAAAUAAAUGGUGCUUGAUGUACAUUUUAAAAGGAAUUGGGAGAAAUGGGAAAACACGUGGGGGUGUUGAUGCCAUAUGUCAAAAUAAGCCAGGGAAACCCUUUAUCAAAGAACAAUAAUCAAGUCUUUAAAGUCGUUUGCACGUUAAUAUCAAAAGCAGAUACAUCUAGCAACCUUCUUAAAAUGUCACUACAGUUCUUUAUUGGUGCUCCUUCCUGUAUCUAAGAUUGUAAAAUAAAAGGAGAAAUCCAACAUUGGACUGCAGUCUUUGCAAAUGAAUUUGAAAAUAUCAGUAAAACGACGGAGUCACAUUUGAACACGUUAUAAGGUGCGUAUGGCAGAUAUGAAGCCGGUUACAGAUGAAGUUAAGUGCAGUUUGCACUCACUUUGCAGACGCCUGCAUGGAUUACAGCUUAACACGCUUGGACGUCAAGGAGAAACUACAUCUUCUAAGUUUGCUACCUUCAUCAAACUGCCGACUAGAACUGCAUUAAAGGAGAUUAAAGUUCUCAUGCACAGAAGUAGAAUGUAGUGACUAAUAUAAAAACUUACCUCUUUCGUGCCCAAUUAAGAUGUCUUUAUGGUUGAAAUA